UAAAUGAAGAGUUUGAUCAUGGCUCAGAUUGAACGCUGGCGGCAGGCCUAACACAUGCAAGUCGAACGGUAGCACAGAGAGCUUGCUCUCGGGUGACGAGUGGCGGACGGGUGAGUAAUGUCUGGGAAACUGCCUGAUGGAGGGGGAUAACUACUGGAAACGGUAGCUAAUACCGCAUAACGUCGCAAGACCAAAGAGGGGGACCUUCGGGCCUCUUGCCAUCAGAUGUGCCCAGAUGGGAUUAGCUAGUAGGUGGGGUAACGGCUCACCUAGGCGACGAUCCCUAGCUGGUCUGAGAGGAUGACCAGCCACACUGGAACUGAGACACGGUCCAGACUCCUACGGGAGGCAGCAGUGGGGAAUAUUGCACAAUGGGCGCAAGCCUGAUGCAGCCAUGCCGCGUGUAUGAAGAAGGCCUUCGGGUUGUAAAGUACUUUCAGCGGGGAGGAAGGUGUUGUGGUUAAUAACCGCAGCAAUUGACGUUACCCGCAGAAGAAGCACCGGCUAACUCCGUGCCAGCAGCCGCGGUAAUACGGAGGGUGCAAGCGUUAAUCGGAAUUACUGGGCGUAAAGCGCACGCAGGCGGUCUGUCAAGUCGGAUGUGAAAUCCCCGGGCUCAACCUGGGAACUGCAUUCGAAACUGGCAGGCUAGAGUCUUGUAGAGGGGGGUAGAAUUCCAGGUGUAGCGGUGAAAUGCGUAGAGAUCUGGAGGAAUACCGGUGGCGAAGGCGGCCCCCUGGACAAAGACUGACGCUCAGGUGCGAAAGCGUGGGGAGCAAACAGGAUUAGAUACCCUGGUAGUCCACGCCGUAAACGAUGUCGACUUGGAGGUUGUGCCCUUGAGGCGUGGCUUCCGGAGCUAACGCGUUAAGUCGACCGCCUGGGGAGUACGGCCGCAAGGUUAAAACUCAAAUGAAUUGACGGGGGCCCGCACAAGCGGUGGAGCAUGUGGUUUAAUUCGAUGCAACGCGAAGAACCUUACCUACUCUUGACAUCCAGAGAACUUUCCAGAGAUGGAUUGGUGCCUUCGGGAACUCUGAGACAGGUGCUGCAUGGCUGUCGUCAGCUCGUGUUGUGAAAUGUUGGGUUAAGUCCCGCAACGAGCGCAACCCUUAUCCUUUGUUGCCAGCGGUUAGGCCGGGAACUCAAAGGAGACUGCCAGUGAUAAACUGGAGGAAGGUGGGGAUGACGUCAAGUCAUCAUGGCCCUUACGAGUAGGGCUACACACGUGCUACAAUGGCGCAUACAAAGAGAAGCGACCUCGCGAGAGCAAGCGGACCUCAUAAAGUGCGUCGUAGUCCGGAUUGGAGUCUGCAACUCGACUCCAUGAAGUCGGAAUCGCUAGUAAUCGUAGAUCAGAAUGCUACGGUGAAUACGUUCCCGGGCCUUGUACACACCGCCCGUCACACCAUGGGAGUGGGUUGCAAAAGAAGUAGGUAGCUUAACCUUCGGGAGGGCGCUUACCACUUUGUGAUUCAUGACUGGGGUGAAGUCGUAACAAGGUAACCGUAGGGGAACCUGCGGUUGGAUCACCUCCUUA
rnacentral:rRNA from 1 species